GGUUAAGCGAAUAAGCGUACACGGUGGAUGCCUAGGCAAUCAGAGGCGAUGAAGGACGUGCUAAUCUGCGAUAAGCGUCGGUAAGGUGAUAUGAACCGUUAUACCCGACGAUUUCCGAAUGGGGAAACCCAAUAUCCAAUGGAUAUUAUCAUUAACUGAAUACAUAGGUUAAUGAAGCGAACCGGGAGAACUGAAACAUCUCAGUACCCCGAGGAAAAGAAAUCAACCGAGAUUCCCCUAGUAGCGGCGAGCGAACGGGGAACAGCCCAGAGUCUUAAUCAAUAGCAGCAUCAG
rnacentral:rRNA from 1 species